rnacentral:tRNA from 1 species
AAUAAAAUAAGCUAAAUUUAAGCUAUUGAGUUCAUACCUCAAAAAUACAAAUGUUUUUAUUA